GCCCAAUGAAAAAAUUUAAUGGCCGCACACGUGCUAAGGUAGCAUAAUAAUUAGUUUUUUAAUUGAAAAAUGGAAUGAAUGAUGACACCAGAGAUGAAAUUAAAUCUUAAAUAGUGAAUUUUUAUUGUUAGUGAAAAUACUAAUUUAAUUUAUUAAGACAAAAAGACCCUAUGAAGCUGCUAAAUAGAAAAAUUAUUAAAAUUAAACUAUAAAUUUGUUUUUUGGGGUAAAAUAUAAUAAUUAUAUUUUAAAAAAUUAGAAAAUUUUAGCCUUUAGGAAUAUUGACAAAGCUCCUCUAGGGAUAACAGCAUUAUGCUUAUAAGAGUUCUUAUCAGAAUAAGCGUUUGUGACCUCGAUGUUG
rnacentral:rRNA from 1 species